UACGUAGGUGACAAGCGUUGUCCGGAUUUACUGGGCGUAAAGAGCGCGCAGGCGGUCGAUCAAGUCGAGUGUGAAAGCCCCCGGCUCAACUGGGGAGGGUCAUUCGAUACUGAUCGACUCGAAGGCAGGAGAGGGUAGUGGAAUUCCCGGUGUAGUGGUGAAAUGCGUAGAUAUCGGGAGGAACACCAGUGGCGAAGGCGGCGACCUGGUCCUUGACUGACGCUGAGGCGCGAAAGCGUGGGGAGCAAACAGG
rnacentral:rRNA from 1 species